AAUUCCAUCAUAUAACUGUUUUAUAAGGAUGACAGUUUAGAGCAGGUGAGUGUUCCAACACCCUUGCUAACUACCCUUCCCUGAAGACAUCUAUUCUUGUCAUAUCAGAUCACCAUGGCUGCCCUGAAGGCUUCUCUGGAAAGUCACUUAAAGCACUGCUGUAGUCUGAACCAAGUAUCUUCAUCCUUUACUGCCCGGCUCUGAAUGCUGCUCUCUACAUUCAGCCUCCCAGGGAAGAUGGAAACAAAAGAAGAGGCUGUGAGACUGGUUGCUCUGCCCUCCUUUGAAAGAAGGGAUAAACAGAAAAGAGGGAAAUGGAAUAAACACUGAUUAAGCACCUACUGUCUGGAGAAAACAAUGUUUUUCAAAGCAAAAACAUCUAAUAAAGAAUCAUAGUGAGCAAAGUCAUAAUAGAACAUUCACACUAUUCCUAGGGGAAUAGACUUUUUCACAAGUAUAUUUAGUACAAGGAUUUUUUUACUUUCCAUUGGGGAAGAGAGAUAUAAGAAGAAGAAAGAA